UACAGAGGGUACAAGCGUUGUUCGGAAUUAUUGGGCGUAAAGCGCGUGUAGGCGGCUUUGCAAGUCGGGUGUGAAAGCCCUCAGCUCAACUGAGGAAGUGCGCCCGAAACUGCAGAGCUUGAGUACCGGAGAGGAUGGCGGAAUUCCCCAAGUAGAGGUGAAAUUCGUAGAUAUCAGGAGGAACACCGGUGGCGAAGGCGCUCAUCUGGCCCAAUACUGACGCUGAAGCGCGAAAGCUAGGGGAGCAAACGGG
rnacentral:rRNA from 1 species